rnacentral:rRNA from 1 species
AUGAGCGGCUUUGAAGCAGUGCAUUGCCGGGAACAAGGGGAGUCCCGGCACAUGCACGAGCUCCUCGCCCAUGUCUCGAAAGCUGGCGGCGCUCCGCGCGUGCAGCACCGGAAGGUACAAGGAAAUGGCCAGAGUCUUGGCACAUCAUGUGAAGAAGCAGUAGGCGGGGAUGCCGGCGACACUGCAGAAGAAGUCCACCACCAGGAUGGCCGGGGAGGCGCCAUCCAGGAAGUCACGGAGCUACGAACUGGAGGCGCGGGCGGCCUCGAAGGUCACCGCCUCAGGGUGGACGGAGUCUACGGGCAUGAGCUCGACCCGCGGGAGGCAGUGGAAGGAGAUGGAGGGGUUGACCGCGGUGACGUCGGCCAGGAAAGGCCCGGUAGCGCCCGUGUCUUACGACGGCUUGAUGAUGACGAUGGUGACGGCGAGGCCAUGAGCGGCCAAGAUUUUGCCGAGCUCGGCCAUGGAGACGAGGUGGCGCAGGCCGGGCGCCGGGUAUAG